AAAUAAUAAAGAAACAAUGGUCAGAUUCCUCCAUCGUAAAGUCCAAACUACACCAAAACAAAUGUAGACUGCAGUCUGUACAAAAAAGGGGUCAAAGGAGCCACAAAAUUUACAUUACAAUGUACAGUCAGCCAGUCAUUAUCAUAAAAUACCCUGACAAGAAGCAGGGGGAUCGUUUGAUGACAAGUUGACUAAUCAUAUGGGUACAAUCUUAAAUAUAAAAGUUACAAAGUGAGGGAUGGGGGUUGCAGCGAUGCCAUAGAAGAACCUUUUGGGGUUUCCCAAAGAACUUAAUUUAAAAAAAAAAAAAAAACAUUCUUUUCUUAUUGUGAAGAACAUAGAACAUUUUAAUAAUCUAAAGAACCUUUUCCCACUGUGUUUCCCACGUUGAUACAUAUAAAUAGAUCAUCAGAGAAUGAGAAAAGAUAAAUAAUCCAGUAGAAAAUUACCAAGUGACCCACAUAAACAAAUAUUACAAAAAUAAUUUAUAUACAAUUAUUUUUCUGCAACUCAAUUUCCUUUUUAUAUAGCUUACAUAGCCACAAUAUAACAUAUCUCCGUUUGUCUUUUACCGAUUGAGAAUAAAAAUUAGUUUUUAAUAAAAAUAAAAAGAAAGAAUAAGAAUAAAUAUAAAGCUGCAUCUGAUUAUGCUAUGUUAGCCACUUGACAAAAUAGUGUUUUUCUCUGAGGCAUGGUGAAAACAUGCAGUCACUGAAAUUCAAGAAAAGGAGAUUCAAACAAUAAGACUAAACGUGUUGAGCUAUAUAACAAUAAUUAGUUUUCUGUCUAUAAAUGUAAACAAACAGUUGUUCCCUUAUCUAAUAAAACAUGUAAUAUAUUAAAGUGUCUUGGGGUGUGUCUCAAUCAGCUCCCUAGCUUGUGAAUCAGUAUAUCGUCUACACAAAUUCAGGCACUGCUAAGGACAGUAAAGGAUGCUGGUUCACUACACAUUGGGACACUUAUGACUCUAUUUCCGGCGACGUGGCAACAUCCUCAUUGUACAACAUCACUACUGGUAUUAUAAACAACAGCAGAGCUGAUAUCUUUCUGACAUUAUUUGUAAUGUUAUUUAAAGUACGUUAUGAUAAAUUCUUUGCUUGUUACAUAUACAUGCAACAUUUCAGCUGUAAAUAAAUUAUAAAUAUUAGCUAAAUUAUGUUCAUUACCUGUCUAGUGAUGUAUGUUUAGGCUGAAAUAUAAUAAAAUAAUGGUUUGUAUUUUUAAAAACAUCUAUCGCGCGUCGUUAUGUGUAGUGAGAUGGCUCACGUGAUUUAAGUUUCGCACUUCCGUUUAGGGAGCAUAGUGAGCAUCGAUGCUCCCUGGUUUUCACGGUGCAUUGUGGGAUUUUGUAGGGAGCAAACGUUUCAGUGCCCUGGAAGGAUUCUGUGAUUGAGACAGCCCUUAAAAUGGCUGACUCCCUGAUCAGUCCCCUGACUACUGAACUAGGGAGCUGAUUGAGACACACCCUUGGUGUUUCCAUGGCUUCUACAAAAUAAAACCGGAAAUCGAGGGUAUGACGUCACUGAUAGGCAAGGCACGGACAAGGUCUGUGUCCUGGUUAAAACUGUUUAUUUCUCUGGAUUUAAACAUUCAUGGAAACAUCUGAGAUAAUUCUGUUACGCAGUUGACGCAGUGUAUGCAGUUGACGCAGUGAACGCAGUGUAGAGCUUCCGUGUUUACGUCCAAACGCUGGCUCAGUAUUGGGCGACGCUGUUCAUGUGAGCACCACAACGCAUGCGUGUGAUGCUGACGCAGGAGCUGGCCAAUACAAGGCUUGUUCGAGAUGCAUCGACACUGCGCAGACUGACCGCCGUAUGACAUCAAAGUACCAUGAGAGCGUCACAACCUUCAUAAUAUUAAGGUUGAACCACUGUAGUCAUGUUGACUAUUUUAAAAAUGUCUUUACUACUUCUUUGGACCUUGAAUGUGGUAAUUUCGUUGUUUUCUAUGGGAGAUAAAAAACCUCUCGGAUUUCAUCAAAAGUAUCUUAAUUUGUGUUCUGAAGAUGAAUGAAGGUCUUGCGGGUUUGGAACGACAUGAGG